rnacentral:rRNA from 1 species
AUACGGAGGGUCCAAGCGUUAUCCGGAAUCAUUGGGUUUAAAGGGUCCGCAGGCGGUCAAUUAAGUCAGAGGUGAAAGCCCAUCGCUCAACGAUGGAACUGCCUUUGAUACUGGUUGACUUGAGUUAUACGGAAGGAGAUAGAAUAAGUAGUGUAGCGGUGAAAUGCAUAGAUAUUACUUAGAAUACCGAUUGCGAAGGCAGUCUACUACGUAUAUACUGACGCUGAGGGACGAAAGCGUGGGGAGCGAACAGGAUUAGAAACCCUAGUAGUCC